rnacentral:tRNA from 1 species
UGGGUAGUAGCCAAGCGGUAAGGCACAGGACUUUGACUUCUGUAUGCGUAGGUUCGAAUCCUACUUACCCAA